UACGUAGGGCGCAAGCGUUGUCCGGAAUUAUUGGGCGUAAAGAGCUCGUAGGCGGUUUGUCGCGUCUGCUGUGAAAACCUCAGGCUCAACCUGGGGCUUGCAGUGGGUACGGGCAGACUAGAGUGCGGUAGGGGUGACUGGAAUUCCUGGUGUAGCGGUGGAAUGCGCAGAUAUCAGGAGGAACACCGAUGGCGAAGGCAGGUCACUGGCACGAUACUGACGCUGAGGCACGAAAGCGUGGGGAGCAAACAGG
rnacentral:rRNA from 1 species